GACCCAGGUACAGGGCCUGGAGAGGGACGGCAACCACGUCAAACUCUGAGCAAGCUAAUCCUCGAAGGAAGGGACUGGUGAGAGAGAGGCUGGUGGGAGGCCCUCUCUCCUGGGGAGCGCGGGAGAAUAAGGCCAGGAAAAUAAAAGCCAAGGUUUACUCCACCCUCUGACCUGCUGCCCGCUGCAACACCUAAACGCUUCCCUGGCCCAACACAGUGCACGCUGUGUCCCUGCCUCCCACCACCCAGAGGCUGGCUCCUCCAGGCCCAUAAAAGGUCUGGCUUUGUGCCGUAGGACCCCACCGCCCCUAACGUCUGCAUGAGAAGAGGGAUACCAGUGGAGAAGAAUGUGGGCAUUGGGGUCAGGCAGGAUUCCAGAUCCCUAUUCUGCCAUUUAGUAACUGUGACCCCAGGCAAGUAAUAAGCUGCCCAGAGCCUCUGCUUUCUUAUCUUUAAGUAAGGCUUUAAAAAAACAAAACAAAACUGCAGGGGUAAUGCUGUAUUCGUCACACUGUUUCUUCUGGGGCACACAGGAAGACCACAUUCAUCUGCUUCCCGUGCAGUCAGUCGGGUUGGUGCCAGGCCUGGCUCUUGAAAAUAUCCCACAUGAUCUUUGCCCAAGCAAGAAAGAAGACUUCAUUGUGUUAAGCCCCUGCGUAUUUCCUACUCCAGCAGAGCACACAGCCCAUCUUUACAGAUAAGUGAAAUGAUGGAGGGGAAAAGGAAGGAUUCUGCAUAACCGCUUUUCAGUAAGCUUGGAAUAACAACCAAGAUGGCUUCUCUAUUUACAAACACGCCGCCAUUGUUUCAGAAGAGGAAAGUGAAUGUUAAGGAAUUAUGCUUGCUGCCCUGAUCAUCUGUUAAACUACAACACGGUCAAUCACAGUCCAAGGAGUCCUGCAUUUCACUGUGUCCUAUGAAACUCACAGCAGGAAAGGAAAAAGACGGUUCAAAACAGAAGGGAAACUGGACCCAUAUUUUAAAGCAUUACAAUGAGUAUGAGUAACAGGAUGUGAAAUGGACUUUCCCUGGUGUCAGAAUUGUGGCCGGAGUCCUAGUGAUGAAGAUCAUAAGUGCCACCUAGCCCGUGUCCUAAUGGGGCAGCUGGACACGGACCCCGAAUCUUCAUAGGCGAGGUUGACAAAAAGCUUUCAGCUGGUAACCCUGCUACCCCACCUCCACAAGGGGCCAUGAGAGAUCACAGGGAGAUUCUCUGAAGGGAAACGGAGGUGGACCUUUCUGCCUUGCCCCACCUCCCAAGCCAAGAGCUGCCACUUCCCAAGAGGCCAGUUCACAAUGACUGGGACUGUCAGCAGGAGGACAAACAAGAAUCUUCUUCCAUAGCAGAACUUCUCUAAUAGAGCCAAAGAAACUCCAACCCACUCCUGGCCGCCUCCAAGCAGAGUCCAGGCAUUCUCUGAAAUACCUGACGUGUGCCCUGGAGGCUUGGGAACAUUCAUGAAGAGAUAGGCUAGGACCUGAAAGAGUCCCAAACUCAGCUGGAGCUGUCCUUGAGCUCAUGACUGAGGGGGCAGGGGCAUAGGGCAAGGAGUUGGUCAUGCUGAAUUUCCACCUCAAUCUGGGGCAAGAAUGCAUCAUUUUCUCCAACCUGGAGCCACGGGAAGGCCUGGAAAGGUAGCUGGGCUUGAAAGGAUCCUGCCACAAAGGGUACACGUUCUGGGUGACAGGGACGCCAGCAGAAAGCCGCCGUGGGUGUCCCAGCAAGGGUGGGGAAGUCCCACGAACUCAGCCAGCAAGAGCACUGCUCACGUCAGGCCUCUGUGCCACACACAGUCUCCUGGGGUAGGGGUCUCUGAAGAGCCCACACCUGGGCUCCACACGACAGUCCUGGCAUAGCAGAACUGAGGGCACCGAUCCCCAGAAACCAGAAACUGUCAUGUAAGCCUCUGCCCCCCUUUCUUUAGCCCCACGUGCAUCCCCGAGGAUCCAGCUGCAGACGAGACUGUCCUUCUUGGACAACAGAGUCAGAAGCGUAAGGGGUCUGCCCAAGCUGUCCCCAUGGCAGGGGAUCAUCCAAAGGGGACAUGUUCAAAAGGCAGCGGUGCCAAGAAAGGAACUUGUGUUGACUACGUCUAACUCAUGUCCGUGGAGCGUAUCUUCACGUGCGUGUGUAGCUGUUUGUGCCCUGCCCCUCUGUCUGGUUUCCUUACAUACGUGUGUAUCGGCUGCUAGGCUGGCAAAGGGACACACCCGGCGGACGGACUGACUUACUCCCAUGCUAUGGCAGCCACCAUCACCAGAUACAUCAGAUAAUGAGCAGAGCCGUCCCAGUAGCAGAUCAUGUGCCCAUACGCAGUGUUCAGAUACGGUUCACCCUAAGGAAAGAGUAAAAGAGGAGUCUACUUUAAAUAGGACUCAAACAUCUCCACCCAGGACACCAGACCUGUAUUUCAAGUAAAAUGGAACAGCAGAGCUGGCUUGUGUUUGUCUGCUAAGAUAAACCUAGGCUCAGUCCCAUACGGGACUCUUCCCGUACAAACUUUGCCCUGGAGCCGCCGUCGCCAGAGUCUGCCAUGGGAUGGCCCCGAGCCUGCCUGGCCAUCCUCUGGGUGACGCACGUGGACAGUGACACCAGGCAGGUGGAAUCGUGGGCAACCGUGGUUGCACGGCUAUUGCACCGAGGCCGAGUCAAAUCUGGGACCAAAGGUGCGUCAGCUCUGGCCGGAGGGGGUGGCCAGAGAAGACUCCGCCCGCCACAACCACCAGCUGCCCUGCGUCAUUCGCCUGCGUGCUGAUCCCCAGGCUUGUUGGGCUGAGGCUGAGGAAGGCACAUCUUGCCCACACCCAGACACACAGACAGACAGACGGACAGGCACCCCACCCCCUCGACCUUCCCAGCCACCCUACGGGACCCACAACUCACUCCACUCUACAGAUGAGGAAACGGCUCCAAGGGGUCACAGGACCAGCCUAAGGUCACAUAGCGAACGCCUAGCACGGAGCAUACCAUCAAGAAAAGCCACACUUCUCCUGAGAAAUUAAUUUUAUGAACAUGAGAUUUUAUGACGCACUACAUUUCCCUCUUCCAGACGGCUCCCAGAAAGUCACGGUCUAAUUCGCAGGGGGGUUAAUGUCAUUCUGACGCCCCCUCGUUCUUUCUCCUCGCUCCCACGUUCAUGCUCUCCUGCCUUGUGUCCCCCUGAGACGCCCUCAGUCCUGUCGGCAGCGGCCAAGAAGGGGCCCCGCUGGAGCCCCACGCUCCCGGGGCAGGGACUGCUCUGUCUCCACUCCCUACGCAUCUGAUGGCAUGAGGACCGUGGAGCAGGUGGGAGUGCCUCGGCAGCUGGACUUGCGUGCCCGCGUCCCUUCUCUCCAACAUGCUAUGACUGGACAAAGCAAUGCCAUGUCACGACAUCAUGGUCAUGCCUAUGCACCUGGCCCUCGGAGCCGGCCUCGCCUGGUGGCUUGAUGGGUGUCUUUAACUGGACGGCCCUUUGAGGGCCCUCCAAACACCCCUGAACUCCUUCCACUCCUCAGCUUCUGCCCUCCGCCGAGCCCCGCCCAGCCUCCCAAUGAACCAUGACAGCACCCAGCCCACCUGGCUCAAAGCCACAGGGCCAUUUUUGUCACUCCUCUCUCCUCUGCAGUCUGCGGGCAAGUCUGGUCAAUUCUCUCUCUCUGAGGUCACUGCGGGCCACCCUCCCUGUCCGUACAUGGCCCUGUUCAAGCCCUCAGUGCCCCUCACGGAGCCAGUCCCACACAGUCUCUCUGUCUCCCUCUCUUUCCAAUCCACCUGCCAGAUGAAGACUCAUGAGGCCUGGCUCCUAACGCAUCUCUUCCACUCAAAAGCCUCCCAAAGCUGGUGGCCGCCCACAGGCCCGGCCCCACCUCCCCUACCUGGCAGCCAGGCGCCCAGAACCUGGCCCUGCAAACCUUCCCAGAGCGACACCCCAUCCCAGCUUCUCAUGCCUCACCGCUUGACACCCUCAACACCUCAACCUCUGCCCCCUUUCAGCAGCCACCUCCUCCCCGAGAGCUCCCCACUCUUUGGACUCAGAGGUCCCAGGCUCUCCAGCUGUUCCGUCUGCCUCUUGGCCUCACAAUCCACUUCAGGGACUCUUCUGGCCACGGCCUCCAGAGGUCCACUCACUCCACCCUCGGCCAUCUUCUCUCUCCCCCUUCUCCCGAGCAAGACUUCAGGUACCAUCUAUACUCAGAUGGCCCCCAAAUUUCUCCGUCAGGAAUGGUCCUCAGAGCUCAAGACCUGCAAAGCCCUGCCAACUGGGACAUCUGCCAGGAUGUCCCUCCACCACCUGAAACUCCACAUGUCCCCAAAUGAACUCAACAUCAUCCCUGCACACCUGCACCCUGGGCUGACCAUGGGGAGACACCUGCCUUUUCUCACCUCCAAGCUCUUGAUCAAGCCGACCCUUCUCCUUGGAAUGCCCUCCACCCUCCUCGUCUAUCUGGAAAAUGUUUACCUUCCAAUGUCAUUGCCAUUUGAAAAAAUGCUAGAGCAGUGUCACUAAUUCAGUGAGGACUCCCCUGACUGCUUCCAGGCCCAGUUCUUCCCUGCGUACAGGCUGACCUUGUUUUAUCGCCCUUCACUUUACUGUGCAUUGCAGACAUUGUGUUUUUUACAAACUGAAGGUUUGUGGCAACCCUGCGUCAAGCAAGUCUCUCGGGGCCGUUUCUCCAACAGCAUUUACUCGCUGUGUGUCUCUGAGUCACAUUUGGGUAAUCCUGGCGAUAUUUCAAGCUUUUCCAUUAUUAUUCUAUUUGUGAUGGUGAUCUGGGACCGGUGAUCUCUGAUGUCACUACUGUGACUGUUUGGGGGGCCCCACGAACUGCACCCAUAUACGAUGGCGACUGUUGGGUGUGGUCUGACUGCUUCGCCUACCUGCAUCCCUCCCUCCCUCCCUCUCCCUGUCCUCGGCAAACUUCACUGUUGUCUUAUUUUAAGAAACUGCCACGGCCACCCCAAACCUUCAGCAGCCACCCUCCUGAUCAGUCAGCAGCCCGCGACAUCACGGUAAAGACCCUCCACCAGCAAAAAGAUGAGGACUCGUUGAAAGCUCAGAUAAUAAUCAAGUUUUUAGCAAAAAAGUAUUUUAAUAUUAAGGUAUAUAGGGUUUUUAGACGCAAUGCUAUUGUACACUUCAUAGACUACCGUAUAGUGUAAAUACAACUUUUAGGUGCAUCGGGAAGCCAAAACCUUCAUGUGGCUUGCUUUAUUGUGAUAUUUGCUUUAUUGCAACGGUCCGGGACCGAACCCACACUAUCUCCACAGUGUGCCCAUGCCCUGUGCCCAACUCCUGUCUGCGGGGCUGAAUUCCCCGUCAUCCCUCUAGUUUAAUAACACCACCAUUCUCCCAAAAGCAGGAAGCAAGAGGUCUUCUUGGACCUUACUCUCCCCAUCACCCCCAGCUAAUCCCUGAGUCCUACCCACUCCAAGCACUCAAAGCCUCUGAAAUUCGUCCCUCCUCCCUACCUCCUGUGCUUGGCUCUGCCUAGGCCAUCCUCAAGCCCUUGCUGGCCCUGCAAAAGCCUCCUGACUUGAGUCCCAGCUCUCAGCCCAGACACUCCCCUUCAAGCCCAUCGUUCCCAGAGCUGACUGCAUGUUCCCUGACUCAAAUUCUUCCUUCGAAUGUGAGAUAAAAUCCAAACUCCCUUUGCUUAACAUAUGAAGCUCGCCGUUACUUGAAACACAGAUGAAAACUGUACUUUCCUGUGUGACCUUGAGUAAGUUACUUAACCUCUGGAGCUGGAUUCAUCACACCACUAAAACAGGGGAAGAGGACUAGCUCUCUCAAGGGCAGGUAGCACUAUAAUAUGACAGCGAGGGAAGGAUCAUCGCCAUCAAAUGGCUUCAUUAAGUGUCUGUGUUCUCUAACACACGUAAGACCGACCUGGGCUUUCGGAUAUGGUAAUGUUUUAAUAAUAAGACACCAAAUACUAAAUUCCUUUAGAGUAUCUCAUUUAUAUUAAAUACAAGCAAAGGAAAAAGGUAGUGGACCAGGUGUGAGGGAGAAGGUAUCAGACGAAGAUGCUGAAAAGAAGUGUCUCCCAUGAUCAAAUCCUAACUUUCUGCUUCACUUUCCACAUGAAUAAACCACCUACAUCUGUGGCAGUAAAAGAAAUACCACGGAUCUUACCACCUUACACUAAAUGUAGGGAUUUCAUCUUUCUGAGCAAUGGGACUUGGGGUGCUGACCCUUCGGCAUAAGGCUUACAGUCACUAAGCGAUCCCAUACCUCUCUCAAGUAGUACGUCAUGAACCCGUCAAUGAUUCCAUCCUGUUCCAAGCCUAUGAUGAGGUUCACCACGCUGGUAAAUCCGAAAACUGCAUACACUAGAGCAAAGGAAGAAGUAGUUAUUUAUUUAUUUAUAUUUCUGUAAAUUAAUCUCUACGCUCAAUGUGGGGCUUGAACCCACAACCUCCAAGAUCAAGAGUCACACGCCCCACUGACUGAGCCAGCCAGGCGCCCCAAGAAAGCAAUAGUUUAAAAAGCAGUAGCUCAGGAGGCAAUGACUAAGAGCUUGGCAUUCACCAAAAAUGGUGACUUCGUCUUCAUCUUUUCCAGAAGACAGUGGGCACUGUCAAGAUGGACGAACAGAAGGUCCCUCCUGUACAGAAGGACCCUCGCCUUUGUUAUGGAUCUCCGUGUCAUUGCCCGAGUGCUCUCUCCAAGGGGACACCCACCAGGGGGACAGAAUGACAUGCUCACCCACUAACUGUGCCACGGGAUCCUACCAGGUCACCCCAUCCAUCCUCCACAACCUACCAGUGGCUGCCCGGGGCCAUACCAGCAUCCCACCUGCAGCCAGCUCGUCUGAUGUUUGCCCUAGUCCACACUGAAGAGCCUAAAGACGGAUGAUGACUGAUGGGCAAGUUGUAAGAAGAAAGGCCAGUGAUUUUUAAAAUGGGUACAAGACGGCACAAUUGAAUACGAAAAAAGCCAAGCCACAGCGUCUUAGAGAAUCUCACUCAGGUUGUGAGAAUCUCCUAAACAGGCUUAAAGCUACCAGCAACACACAGCUGUAGAAUGAUACGUUUUACAUGGCAAAAGAUCAACUUAGUGCAUGUUAGUUUAUCAAUAAGGAUGCAUUUUCAAGCUGUACCCCAUCAGAAGCCAUGUGGCGGGCACGGGUAGGACAAGAAUUCGAAGGUGGACAGAAGAACAGCCAUGAUAAAGUGGGGAGGUUACUUCCCAGAGAAGGGAAGCCAGCCUUGCCAAGUCUGCAGCCAAGCCCCCGGUGUUCACAUCUUCCCCAGGAUGCAAGGCCCGCGAGUGCCCUGCCCUACAGACCCUGCCUUCCCAUGCCUUCCAGGUCUGUGCUCCAGACCUUGCUGUCAGGAUCAGCCCCCGAAGGUCCCCCAGGAAAGAAAGCGCUCAGCAUCUGAUCACUGAGGCUGACGGGAGUGUCGGAUGCUGGGUCCAAGGUGACAAGCCCCGGCCCCAGGGCUGCAGUGUGCUCAAGCUAGGACAUAGAUGAGAACAGAGGGCUGAGGGUGUAGGAACAAGGGUGCUCAAUCCUGGGGAAUUGGGAGAGACCCAAGUCAGCUAAGCAUGGGCUCCAUGGAGUGGGGUGGAAAGACAGCAGCAGGAGACAACUCUCGAAACCUAGGCUGGGGUCAGAGCAAAGACAGGUGGUGUGGGGCCAGAGAAAUGAUGUGGGCCUUGAACUCAGACAGGUCCAACUCAUCUACCCUAAGCAUGGGCUCCACGGAGUGGGGUGGAAAGACAGCAGCAGGAGACCACUCUCAAAACCUAGGCUGGGGUCAGAGCAAAGACAGGUGGUGUGGGGCCAGAGAAAUGAUGUGGGCCUUGAACUCAGACAGGUCCAACUCAUCUCCCCACUGGCUGUCCAACCUUAGGCAAGUCACAUGAUUUACCUAAGCUUCAGGGUCUUUUAUAUGCAAGUUGGGAGAAAUUAGUUACAAUUCUUCUUUCCCUCCCCACCUUUGCCAAGAUCCACGGUGGGCAGAGAAUAUUCCCCAUGCUAUUGAUGAUGGACUCAGCCACACGACUUCCUUUGGCCACUGGAGUGUGCAUGGAAGUGACAGUGGCCAACUCCCAAGUCUCCUCUGCCAUGAGAAGGGCCCACCAUGGGGAGCUGCUGGUCCAAGAACAAGGAGACACAUGGGACAGCUCUGAAUAUGACCCGCAGUCCGAUGCACAACAGUCCUAGCUAACCUGCAGACCCGUGAGCGUGGGCACUAAAUGUUUGUACCCAAGAUUGGAAGUACCCGAAGUGUGGGUACAGAAGACAGGCAUAAACAAAAUGGAGUAUGACUCAGCCAUAAACAAAGAAGGAAAUCCUGCCAUUUCCAACAACCUGGGUGGACUCUGAGGGCACUGUGCUAAGCGAGAUGAGUCAGCAGAGAAAGACCGAGACUGUGUGAUCUCACUCAGGGACGUGGAAGCCAAACAAGCUGAACUCAUAGAAACAGAGGCUGGAACGGUGGUUGCAGGGCCGGUGAGUGGGGGACAUGGGGAGAUGCCGGGCAAAGGGUACAAACUUCCAGUUGUAAGAUGAGUAAGUUGACAGCGUGGUGACUGCGGUGAACAAGACUGCACUGUACCCUAAAUGUUCUCACCACACGCCAGAAAAAGGUAAUUCUGUGAGGUGAGGGACCCUACGGCGAACAACCUCGUUGUGGCCACCAUCUCAUGGUGCAGCCGUGUAUCACAUCGUCACGGGGUAGACCUUACGCCUGCCCGGUGUCAGACGUCAAUUACAUCUCCGUAAAGCUGCAGAAACAUGGGAAAUGUCUGUUGCUGCGGCAGGACACCGAGGUCUGGGGGCGUCUGAUACGCAGCCUCGCUAAAGCAGAAACUGAACAAGUAAAGGCGCAGCCCAGCUCCCGCAGGGGACGCGCUUGAAGGCGGGGACGGCUUGGCUGGAGGCAGCCUGGUGCAAAGAAGAGUGUGGCUUCGGGGGUCAAUGCCGUUCUCACUAUAUGACCUUGACCACGUGUCUUAGCGGCUCCGAGCCCGCUUCUUCAUCUGUAAGGGGAGGGCAUCUGUUGCGAGGAUUAAAUAAGCUAAUACUUUGAAGUGCUCGGGGCCACACCAGGCACGCCGUAAGUGCUGGAUCAGGGGUGUUUUCACUUACGUAAUGCACGUGUGUACUUUUCAGGCACUGUUUAAAUAUUUGACUAAUAUCAUUGAAUGUUUGUAGCAACCCUCCACGGGGAGCACUGUUUUCCUCAGUGGACCAAGACACUACAGCUCAGUUCCAUGCCGGGUGGAGGGGGCGGCAAGAAGCAAGGCAAAGGCAAGAAGCACGGGAAGGAGCCGCUGCAAGAGUCGAGGGCAGAGAGCCAGCCAGAAACCUUCAGACUGAGCUCCAGGGAGCACAGAAGAGUCACAGCUACACACACCUUCCAGGAGGACCAGGAGGAAGGGCCCCAGGAUGUGUAUAAUCAAAGGGGCCAGAGGAUGAGGCCAAUCCAAGGAAGGAAGAGUUGGGCCAGAGCUGCGGCCAGAAGGAAGCCAGCUCCACACACCCGGGGCAGCAAGCCAGAGUCCAACCCCGCACCUGGAAGGUAAGGUGAGGCUAGGGUGGGCACAGGAAAAGGACCAGAUACCAAGGAGACCAGGGGCCAAGGCCCCUUCCCAGUGGGACAGCAUUAGGGCGUGAGGCUCGGUUGAGUUAGCAGUCAAGACACCUAGAGUCUAGGACCUACUCUGCUACUGCCUAACUGGGCGACCUGAGCAAAGUCCUGUCAUUUCAUCAUCUGUUUAUUAAUUUUAAAACAUAUUAAGGAUAAAAUGUUUUAUGCACCACUAUGUGCCAGGCACUGUGGAUGAAUGGAGGACGUCCCUGUCUCCACGGAGGGUCCUAUCUCAAUGGACUCCGCGCUCUCUCUCCCAGAGGUCACCUCUAGACCUACAGAGCUUCUCUCUCACACCUCCAGCACCAAGCAGAGCUUGCAGUCCUAGACAGAGGGCCAUGGCCCUCUCCAGCAGCCUCCUACACCACAGCCUCCUCAACAGCCCUUCAGAGCUGCCACAAACAGCACUCCUCGGCCGAAACCCCUCCACACCACAGCAGACCGACAAGGGGACUUUUGGAUCACCUCUACCAUAUGCCCUGGGACUUCUGGAAAGUACCUUUCUCAGUCACAGAUUCCACAACCUAACAAUACCUACUGACAGCUGAGGGACAAACUCAUGCUGAAGUUCACUCCACUCACCUGCAGCUGGAAUGGUUGUUAGAAAUCUGCCCCCAAUGUAAGACGGGUCAGUGAGGAAGUGGGAAGAGAUCCAUCCAACCUGCAGGUAGAUGGGCCCACAGGAGACUGGUCACAGGUGCAGGAGAGCUGUAUCUCCAGCACCUGACCCCGGCCCCACAAAGAGUCAGGGAAUGGGCUCUGGGCAUCAGGAGCACCCAGAUUUCCAAAUGCCACCCUCGACCUACAGCUAUCUUUUCAAGAUACCUGGAUGAGUAUGACAAAGAAAGUCUGCCUGGGGACUUCUGUUAGGAUAAUAAGAAUUGAAUGGAUGAAGGAGGGAAAGAGGGGAAAAGAAGCCAGGAAGGAGAAAUGGAUGGAUGGAUGGAU